rnacentral:rRNA from 1 species
CCUACGGGUGGCAGCAGUGGGGAAUAUUGCACAAUGGGGGAAACCCUGAUGCAGCGACGCCGCGUGAGUGAAGAAGUAAUUCGUUACGUAAAGCUCUAUCAGCAGGGAAGAAACACUGACCUUACGGUCAGCAGACGGUACCUGAGUAAGAAGCCCCGGCUAACUACGUGCCAGCAGCCGCGGUAAUACGUAGGUGGCAAGCGUUGUUCGGAAUAACUGGGCGUAAAGGAUGCGUAGGCGGUUAAGCAAGUUAUAUGUUAAAUAUAUAGGCUUAACCUGUAGAAAGCAUAUAAAACUGUUUAACUAGAGUGCAGGAGAGGUAAGUGGAAUUCCUAGUGUAGCGGUGAAAUGCGUAGAGAUUAGGAAGAACACCAGUGGCGAAGGCGACUUACUGGACUGUAACUGACGCUGAGGCAUGAGAGCAUGGGGAGCAAACAGGAUUAGAUACCCCAGUAGUC